ACUGCACAGCCAAAGGAGGAAACAGUCAGCUAAUCCCAACGUCACCCACUGUGUUUCUGCUGCGUUUAGAAACUCACCUUACGAGGCACCGUCAUGACUAUGGGUUCACAUUUCCUCUCAUGCAGUUUGUAGAACCUGGAGGCCUCUCUUGGGCAUGUAUCCCAUCCCCUUCUGGCUCUCCUUGCUGCUGAACAUGGACAGGUAGUGGACGUAAGGAGCCUCGUCCGUCACUUCGAAGUAACGGAUGCUGCUGUCUCCCUGUGAGAAGGCCAGCACAGAAAACGUUGAGCCGAUGAGCGUGGGUGAGAAUCACAGACCGCUUCCCAGUCUGGACCCAACCUUGCCACAGAGGUAGAUGAUUCCCGUGUCUGGGUCGAAGAACGGCAGGAGGACGCCGCUGCUCGUGUCCAGCUCCUGCAGGGUCAGCGGUUCUCCAAAGUUGUUCUACAAAAAAGAACAAUUGUUGCUUUCAUAAUAACCAGAGGAAAACAUUAAAGCAGACAAAUUGGCGAAAA